GAUGAACGCUGGCGGCGUGCCUAAUACAUGCAAGUCGAGCGAACAGACGCGGAUCUUGCUCCUCUUUCGAUAGCGGCGGACGGGAGAGUAACAAGUGGAUAAUCUACCUAUAAGACUGAGAUCACCUCGGGAAACCGGCGCUAAUCCCGGAUAAUAUCUUGAACCGCAUGGUUCAAUGGUGAGAGACGGUUUUUCUGUAAGUUAUCGAUGGAUCCGCGCCGCCUUAGCUAGUUGGUAAGGUACCGGCUUACGAAGGCAACGAUGCGUAGCCGACCUGAGAGGGGGAUCGGCCGCACGGGAACGGAGACACGGUCCAGACUCCUACGGGAGGGAGCAGUAGGGAAUCUUCCGCAAUGGGCGAAAGCCUUGCGGAGCAACGCCGCGUGAGAGAUGAAGGUCUUCGGAUCGUAAAACUCUGUUAUUAGGGAAGAACAAAUGUGUAAGUUACUAUGCACGUCUUGACGGUACCUAAUCAGAAAGCCACGGCUAACUACGUG
rnacentral:rRNA from 1 species